UGGAGGCAGCUCCCAGCCCACGGCGAAAAUCAAAUUAUUUGUGUAACAGGAAAAAAAGUUUGGGGAAUCAACAUCCAACCAGUGGCAAAGACAUCACAGUCCACUCGAAUGCAAAGAGAAAUGGACAACACACCUACAGCAUGAGCUUUGGGCUGAUUCUCAGCACUGUUUUACCAGGAACUGGGAAGGUGCUGCACCAGGAACUGCAAUUCCUGGAACUAGUGAUCAGCUUCAGACAGGAGCAAGCACUGGCUGGAUUGCUGAGACAGCGAUCAAAAGGGUGGCACUGAUCUGCCACGUCAAAAGCUGGGUUAUGUGCGGACUGAACAAGAUCAACCCUGCUAAGCACCUGAAAGCUACAGGCAAAGGUCCAGACAUGUAAUAAAAACCUGGACACUUGAAAACCUUCCCAUUGUGCCCCAGGACCACGGUGAAGAAGGUUACUGCUUGUCCCAGGCUCAUGCAGACCAUUUUCAGAGAAGCCAUCCUGCACCUGGCUCUGCUGGCUGGUGGCCAAAGGCUGUGGCCUGCAGCAGGGGUGAUGGCCUGUGCCAGCACACCAGGCAUCAGGAGGGGCCACCUGCCUAGGACACAAGUGUGGUAUGAGCUGAUAAGCUCACAAUGGCACACAGCACGGCUCGGGCUGGAAGCCACUGCAGGGGCAGGUGGUGGUGUUGGCUGAGCUAAGGCAGGUUUCAAAGAGGUCUGACCAAAGCCGUUCCUUCUGUGCUGCCGCUGGAUUUUCCCCCUAUUUCGCACUCCAAGCUGAGCCACACUGGGAUGGGAAGGAGCAACCAAGCCUACAAACUAUCCUGGCAUGAGAGCACGUUGCUCUCCUUCAGAGAGAUCCAACUAAACAACUUCCCUAGCUGUUACCCCUCUGCAGCAUUCAAUACCUUCCUUACUUUUUUAUUUUUAAAAUCUAACCCAAUCACAGUCCCUGAUCUCUCUUAACUUCCAACAGCCCCAGUGGACUGUGAUGGGUUCUUAAACUGCAGAGCACACACUGCAGGUCUGACAGACUGGUGGGUGCAUCAGAAAUAAAACUCCAGAGCCCUGGGAGCAGAUGGAGUCACUGCUCACUGAACUGGAUGUUGCACAGAGGGCUAUGGUCUAGCUGACAAAAUGGUGAUCAGUCAAAGGUUGAACUCGAUGGUCUUGAAAGUCUUUUCCAACUGAAAUGACUUUGGGAUUCUUUGAAAACCAUCACAGAAGACUUAGCUAAAAGACCAUUUCAGAGAGAAAGCAAUUGCAAAGCCAUUAAUCUUUCUUAUCAAGUCCUGGAGCUGCCUCUGGGCAGCUGUAAUUCCCCAGGUCAGGCCAUGAUGUGAGUGUCUUUUCCCCUUGUUUACCUGGACUCUGCUGCAACGUGGCUUUGACAAUGCUGCAGGCUCUUGUUUUCAAUGAAAAUACCAGCAUUGUGCAGCCUCCAGACAGAGCCAGACGGCUUUCCAUGUAAACCACUGGAUUAUGCCAAUAUUUGACGCAUCUGCCAAUAUCUAGAAAAACAAGUCUAAAAGCCCAUAUUGUUAUAUAACAGAGAAACAAGGCAGGCUUGGUGCAAAGGGCUGCUGCCUCUCGCUCUCUUGAUCCUGAGGAAGACAGAGGAUGACAGAAGGAGAAUUCCAGUUUCAGAAGAGGCCGAAGCUUUUGCAUGCAAGCUGCAGGGGAGAUGGGAAAAGCUGCAGCCCUUCCUCCUGUCAAAGUGGGAAAAAAUCAGGCUCUUGCAGCAGCAUACUGAGCACAUUGUAGAUGCUUGAUGUGUUGAAAGAGAAAUCUGUGAAGAAUCUGAAAGAAGGGGGCUCUCCAUUUUCCCAAGGGAUGAGCCUGGUCCCCUCUUCCUGCUCAGCUUGAUGAGAGGGAAAAACUCCUGCUUGAGAUUCCCAAGUCGGGGGGCAUCAGGAUGGCCAAAAAGGAGUAAAACACCUGAGAGGUUUCAGAAACCCAGAGCCAAACACAAGCCUUGUCCCGAAGAGCUGAGGAUCACCCUUUAUCUUGUUUCACCUAGCCACUCUGGCUAGGACAGAGCCCCUCUGUUGCUUGUGCUUCCUCCCCUGUGUGGGGCCAGAAAGAGACUAGAAGCAAGCUCCUCUGGGAUGUGGAGGGCAACCAGGGCAAGGAUGGCCUCUCUUCUCUGCCAGGAGCUGCAAUGGGCCAGGAGACCGUAGCAGAAGAAGGAUGGCAAAGCCCAGCAGCCCCACAGCCCUUCCAGCAGAUCCACAAGCUGUAGAUGGCUGCAUGUGGAGGAAGGGAGUGCUGGCCCUUGAAAUGGCAGCCCCAGUGCUGCUCACUAGGCACCUGCUGUCUCCCUGCUUUCCCUUUGUGCCUGUGCAAGAGCUUCUGACUGUAUUUGGAUUAUCUGACUGUAUCAGGAUUAUCUACUUCUACCCCCCCAGCUCCCCUCCAAGGUCCUCUGUCCUGAGCCUGUAUCAGAGGGGAUCCUGGCUCUCGCUCUGUGCAGCCCCCCCUUGCACUUGGCUCUGUCUGGCUGCAGAGGGCUGUAAUUUCACAGCCUGCUCUCCUCUCCAGCUCCCAAUGACAUCACCCACUCUGAUUAUAUAAAGCACAGGGAGGAAGCCUUUAUUUAUGCGUGCUUUUUGCUCACAGCUUCAGCUGUCUCAGUGUACAACACACAUGCAAAUCCCACUGCAGGAACUGGGCUCUCUUUUGCCUGAAUCAAAACUGCACUGCAGAAAAAGGUGUGGGUGCAAAAAAAAAAGUCUCUGUUUCCUUCCUCCACACCUCUGAAUACAUUUUUGAGGAGUUUGGGUAGGAAUCAAUCUAGCACAACACUCUGCACCAUAGCAAGCUGGGCACAAAGCCACCAGCUUCCUCCCUGCUGGGAAGUCCCCAGAGAGCAGAGGGACCUGUGCUGGCAGCUCCAAGCCCUGUGUCUGCUGGUCUCAAAGUGGCUACUCAGGGGCUGCAAACCUAACCCCCUAACAAUGCCCAACAGGGUUCCUACAAGGGCCAGCCCAGGGCUGUAAGGCCACUGGCAGUUUCCAUUCCUGAGCCCUGGUGGGCUCAGCCAAGUCCCUGUGCAGCCCCUGACAUGGGGUGCCCCCCACUGCCUGCUCCAUCCUCCUCUGGGCCAUGCUGCAGAAGCGCUGCAGACACGAGCCAUCCCUGAAUGCAGACACUGCCAGAGAGACAGCAGCUUCUUUGCCAGAAGUGGUUUGGGAUUUGUGCAGGGUCCUUGCCAGCUUCCAUCAUGAGCAGAAGCGAUGGAAACUGAGAAAAGAAACUUUCUCUGCUGAGGAGGCAGGCAAGCGCGCGCACGCUCGGCUCUGGAGCAGCAGGUUUACCAGACUCAGCGCUAUCCCCCCAUCAGACACUGCUGAGAGACUCUGCUGAAUCAAGGCCUGAACAUCUGCAAAACACACACACACACAGACACACACACAAACUCUCUUCCCAUCUUUAAAAGAUCAAGCCUCCCUCCCAGCAGGAAAUGACCAACUCGCCUCCAGCAGCAGUUCAAAAUGCUGAAUUCUUAAUUUUGUAUGUUGAAAGAAGGGAGCAUCUGAGGGAAAAGAAAAGCAUUUCCCAGAUAUUUUUGUACUUAUGCCUCCAGGUCUGUAGGGCUUGAAUUCAACAGUGGAUUUAAGCAUGUGCUCAACAUUAGGAAUAUGCUCAAGUUCCACUGAGGCUAAAUCAGACACUUGAUCAUUGUGAGAUGUUAAAAAAAUAGAAGCAAACCAAAAGAAGCACCAAAAGAACCAGAAGAAGGAGGAUCCUAACAUGCAGAAGGACAUUAUCUCCUCUUGCCUCAAAGCCUUUUCAAAGUCGAAUCCAAUUUAACCCUGAAAUUAGAAACCACCAACUUUGUUUGGAUUUCAGAGCCUAACAGAUUGUCUAAAAAAUUCAGGAGGGAUCACUGGUUAAAGAAAGCAAUUCCUGGAGAAACACAUGUGACCCCACAUCAAUAAUUCAAUGUACGGGAAUGAUUUUGAGAUAAAAGUAAUGAGAAACACAUGCAAAAACCACAGGGCAGGGAAAAUACGCUUUCCUUCUAAAAGCAGUUCACAGGUCAGAGGCUGCUUAUCUCCAACAGCCAUCGUACGACUUGAUGUUUUUUCCUUACCCUUGUCCCUGACCCCCAGCCCUCUCAGCGUUGUAUCCGCUCCCUGCUUUACCCAGCGCUCGUCUCCAGCGAGCGGGGAGGUUUUUCCAAGCACCUGGCUGCGGGCUGGAGGAGGCAGGAGCGGGCUGGAGGAGGCAGGAGCGGGCUGAGCCCGCUGUCGGUGCUGCAGCGCGUUAUGCAAGCGCUGCGAGCCCUCCGGCCGCGCUGCGGCGGCGCCCGGCCAGCCUGCGAUGAGCGCACCGAGCCCCGCUCAGCCCGGCUCCGCAGCGCGGACACACGCUUCACAAGGAAAUGUGACUCACAAACGCACAGCUGAAGUUAAUAUUCUCCACCUGAAUAUUCUCCACCUGAGCUGUGAAAUCGCUCGCAACAAACCGGGCUUUUGGAUUGCAAAUCAGGUUUCUCCUCACGAUUCUUAUCGUGCGCUUGCUCCCAGUUGGAAGAGGAUACUUGCUCAUCUGACCCCGUUUCCAGUCAAUUUCUACCGAUGGCUCCCUGGCAUGUACGAGUAUUUGUAUUCCAAAAGCUAAUAAACUCUGUCAUGAAAAUUAACAAAAAAAAAAAUCCUUCAUAUUUUUAAAUUUUUAGAUGUAAAGUUCUGCCAUUUAAAAUAAACAAAGAAAUGAAAAUUUAAGACCAACAAUAAAAAGACCUGACAACAUACUAUAAACAGGAAUUUAAAGGAACAAAAAAGUUCUACAAGCAACAUUUUCAACUUUAUCUUAACCAUGUCAGGUCUGUCUGCAAAAGUUAGAGAUGAACAUGCACCCAACUGUGUUCUCAAAUCAAGGCCAAAGGAAAAACAAACUGCAAAUGAUGAGAUCUAUGACCUAACAAUGGUAAAACAAUAAUAGGAAUAAUAAAAAAAAACCCAACCCCAAGGCAAUGCAGUUUUUCAAAGUCACACAAAUCAAUGUACCUCUGCCUGGUCACAAGCCAUGCACCAGGCAGAUAAGGGGUGGCACAGUGCAUAAGAAAGCAGAGUUGUGAUUCAAGGCCGUAAGUGGAAACAAAAUACAAACAGCAAUGUACUGAUGUAUUCCACAACUGCAGAGCUUUGUUCAAAGGCCACCUCAGAGACAAAACCAAAACCAGGUACCCUGGGAAAGGGAGCAUCUUACCAAGCAACUGAAAUACUCAGGAAAAAAUGGCCGAUUUUGGGGUACACAAACCCUUCCCCCUGUCUGCAACAGAAGCUGCAAGCCUUAAGGGAUACACAGUGUGCUCAAAGCCAAGUCAGUGCAGAGUCCUCCUGCACGCUGCCAACAUGCCUGCAAAGCAGCUGUGCCAUUCAUCAGAAACCUGCCUCCUUGCAGAGGAAGCACUAACCUGCUUUGCUGCAAUCUACGGAUUUUCAGCUUUACUGCUAGAAUUAGGUCACCGGCAAAGAUAGCCAAGAUUUCCCAAACUCUCCAGCUAUUCCUGAUUAUUCUCUUCAGAGGUUUCCUGGCUAAGCACAACGCCUUUGAAAUGAAGAGGUAUUUUGGACUCCCCCAAGGCUUCUGCAGUCAAACACUGAGAAGCAGAGAUGCUCUCACUCCAUAAUCCUUAAUCGCCUCUAAAACUGCCAGGCAAUGGGAAAGUUCUCCAGCUCAGAUCUACUGCCACCAGGUCCUUCCAGCCUCUCCAGAAGAAAUCAAAGACGGUGCACACCAGAAAACAGAUCAAUUAGCAAGGAUCUGCAGGGACCCUUGAAGACCCAUGCCUGCACUCGAGCCUGGCAGAAGCCAAGGCAGCAGACAGCUUCCCAGCAGGCAGCUGGAGAGCAGCCAGGGACUGGUCUCCUGCCUAAGCAGAAAAGCUCCCCCAGGUCCACAGGGUGUCACAGCAGUAGAAGCAUACACAGUACCUCCAAGCCCCUGUUUCCUUGCAGUGCCACUGAAAGAGACCUUGGACUUUGAUGCCUUCCAAAGUACAGUCAAACUUGUACUUUCAUUAGCCAGCUGAAAGAACAAGCAUUUGCUUCAUAAGACAGACAUUUGUAUAUCACUGACAGAGUAAAGGAUGCUAUUAACUUGUUACUGGGGAAAACAUAUUUCCUGUUUUUAAAAUCAUGAGUGGGAAAUUUGUCAAUACCAAGAAUAAAUUCUUUUCUGGUACCAGAAGUUCUUUUUGUCACUAACAAAUUUUUUUAAAUUACACAGGUAAGUUACAGCCACUAAGAAUUUUUCCAUCACAUGCAUCUAUUUUCUGAAGCUUACCUCAUGGAAGAAACUUCCUAAUGAAAGUAUAUUCUAAGAAUGUGACCAUUUGACAUACUUGUUUACACAAAAUCUUUUAUGCCAGAAGGAAAGCAUGUGCUCUUCAUCUAAUAUCUCUACACACUGUCAGAAAUAUUUAAGGAGUCAUCAAAUAUCUACUGUACCUUUCAGGUAUAGAGGGCAUACAUCUGGAACAAGGGAAGCAGUGCAUGUAAUUUCACCUUGUAAAAUUAUUUUAAAUUUAACCUCAAACUUCCCAGAGAAAAUGAAUUACCAGCCAAGGUCAUUCUUUGAUGUAUGCUUGGAAAAAAAGCAGCAGGAAGGAGAACUUAAGACAUCCUAGCAGUACUUUUCCUACUGCAUAAGGAUUUUUGCACAGAAAAACCAGCAAUACUGUAUUUAAAGAGGCUAGGAGUUGGCUACCAUUAAGUAACAAAAUGGUUUUAACUCAAGUAACUUAUACUUGUUACUCAGGAGGGGAGCCUGAACAGAGCACAGCUCCCAGCACACUGACACAGCAGGUGAGCCAUGUCCUGAACUCACACAAUACAGAGGUAUCAGGAAAAAAAAAAAAGAGUUUUUGAAAGGAAGCACCAGAGAGUGUAAAAACACACCUUGCCUCUGUUUAGCUGGUGUGAUGUGCUAAUACAAACUCCUUCUCCAAAGAGGAGCCAAGUUUAUCGCCUAGAAAAUUAAACCAAUAUAAACUUCAGGGGGAAAGAACAACACAAACCCCCUGCCUUGCCCUUUCCCUUUCCCUGGGCACCUUCCUUAUAUUUUCUUCCUCUCCUGUAGGAGUGUGUGAAGGCCAAGAGAUGCAAGAUGGCUCAAACCUCAAACGAGGAAAAAGCAUGGAGCUGGCUGCUUGGAAACAACUUCCCUGGGCUGGAAGCAAAAAAAA